CGGAGCUGCUCAUUACUUUGUUCCCUUCCUUCCACUACAGCAGCUCCUAGUCAUGACAACCAGUGGGGCUAAUUGACGUGAAAACUCAGCCCCAAAUGUCCAAGCUUCCCCCAAACAAUUGCUGGAUUGUUCCGGGACCUGCUGAUACAACGAGCCUCCCGCUGAGAAGUUUGGCCCAUAAUUAGCAAGCAGCAGCUGUCAAGCCCAUCAGAUGGUUUUAGGUGAUGAAGCCAAGGAGACAAAGAAAUUUCUUCUUCCUCUCGGGCAGGGAAGACAGUCCCUAUUUGAGUGGAGCUGACAGUUAUGUAAAGGAAACUAAGUGAAUUUGGCUUCCAUUUCACACUCCUGCUUUCCAGACGGAUACCGAACCUAUGAGGCUCAUCUCUCAAGCCUGGUUCCCUCACCCCCAGCUGAUGGGGCGACAAAGUCUUAAUGAAGCUCGGGAAAGGCAAGAAAGGCUGCGGGCUGGAAACCCCAUCUGCUCUACGCUUGAAUAACCCUUGAAGACCUCUGGGAAUUUUCAAAACGGAGUGUGUUUUGCUCUCCCUCGACCCUGAAAGAAAGUUCAAAAUGGGAUAGUUUUCACCUUGACAUUGACUUUUUGUAUUUGGGGAAAUGUGAAAUGAUGUCGGAUGAAAAAAGAGUUGGUGCUGGAUACUUGUGAUUCAAAUAAAGAUGCCUGGGAGAGAUUGUCUGGAGGGAGAAGUCCCCGUAACCUAGAACUUUGGCAAAAUUCCAAUACUAAAAACGUGGCAGAGGAGGCUGAUACAGCAAAG
rnacentral:lncRNA from 1 species